GUCUUCUUAGCUCAGUUGGUAGAGCGCUGGUCUCAUAAUAUGACCCGAUAGGGACACUACCGGGAGAUCCAGAGGUCGACAGUUCGAGCCUGCCAGAGGACA
rnacentral:tRNA from 1 species